rnacentral:rRNA from 1 species
UACGUAGGGGGCAAGCGUUGUCCGGAUUUAUUGGGCGUAAAGAGCGUGUAGGCGGCCCGAUUAGUCCGCUGUGAAAGUCCAGGGCUCAACCCUGGAAUGCCGGUGGAUACUGUCGGGCUAGAGUCCGGAAGGGGCGAGUGGAAUUCCUGGUGUAGCGGUGAAAUGCGCAGAUAUCAGGAAGAACACCCGUGGCGAAGGCGGCUCUCUGGGACGGUACUGACGCUGAGACGCGAAAGCGUGGGGAGCGAACAGG